rnacentral:SRP_RNA from 2 species
GCUGGGCGUGGUGGCGCACGCCUGUAAUCCCAGCUACUUGGGAGGCUGAGGCAGGAGAAUCACUUGAACCCAGGAGUCGGAGGUGGAAGUGAGCAGAGAUGGCGCCACUGCACUCCAGCCUAGGCAACACAGUGAGACUCCGUCUCAA